UAAUAAGUGUUUUAUGGCACUUUUUAAAUCCAUAUCCACCUUGUGUGCAAUGUCAGUCGAUCUCCAUGAAGAAGAUCGACCAAACAUCAACCUUUAUCUUUUAACUCUUUGUCUGAAAAAUAUUAUGAAUAAACAAUUCAAAAUA
rnacentral:misc_RNA from 1 species